UCCAUAUCAUCAACAGUUAGGAAUGGCAAAACCAACUUACGUACAGACAAUCACUCGAGAUAGACAUCAGGCAUAAAUACACGUCAAGGUCAAAAUAAUCUGGAUAGUUGGACUACGUGCAGUAAAGUAAGAAGGUUUCAAAGACAAGUUACAAACAAGAUGAUCAAUGCAUCCGGGUACCAGCAAAGAAAUCAAUACCAUUGGGGUCAAACUACAAAGGUCAUCAAAUUUAUUAGGAAUCAAAUUGCAACGAAAACAAUAGCAUAGGGGAAAUAACUUGCCGAAUGACGUAUAUAGUAAAAGAUAUUCCCUGGAGCGAGCUGACAGGCGGACUAGUCUGUUCUGUCUUGGUCAUGUCCUUGAGCAAGAACUUUACCCCCAAUUACUGUGUUAGCGUGCGACAGACCUCUCGUGUGUUGUUCAUUGAGACUCAAGGUGAAAGACCAGACCGUUUCAGACAAUAUAACUUUUUCGAAGUCCAAUAUUAAAAAUGACG